AUGACUGGUGCCAGGGAGGGAGANCCUGCAGGAAUGGGAAUCUGCUCCUCCAUCCCUGCAGGCUGGGAAUCUGCUCCCUCAUUUCUGCAAGAAUGGGAAUCUGCUCCUCAUCCCUGCCAGGACAUCCUGGAGACCUCGGUGCUGAGGGAAGCUCCAGGGGCUCCUCAUGCUGGGUGUAUCCUUGAGGAGUUACACCCAGGAUGGUGCUGGCUUUGCCUGGGCUCGAGUUCUCCCCAGCUGGAACUGGAACUGGGUUGGGAAUGUGUGGGGGAUGCUGCUGAGCUCCCAUCUGAUGAUGCAGUGGUAGGAAAUGUGGCUUGGGGUCGGUGAUCCCAAAGGAUCCCAUAGCCAGAGGAUUAUUCCUUGCCUGAGAAGGGGUGUUGCUUCCUCCAGCUGUGGAAGUGGAAAUGAGUAAAAAUAAAAAGUAUUUUUUUAAACA
rnacentral:lncRNA from 1 species